rnacentral:lncRNA from 1 species
UCAAUUUUGCAAAAUAUUUUAGAACUAAACAAGGCCCCAGAUUGUCCCGUCCGGACACGCGAUGAGGGGAAAAAAAUCGUACACAGAGUCAUAAGGGGUGAAAUUCAAUCCCAUUCAUCUGGGUGAACCGGAUGAUAGCAACUUUUACUGUUACGUGCACCGCUGUGCACGGGGUCUCCUUGCCAUCUGUAAAUCAGGAUCAUCUGGAAUUGGGUGCGCACUGCGCACGCACAACACGGCGCGUGUUGUUGUAACAGUUUCCGAAUCCCACCCGCGAGAGAUUCAGACCCCCAGCUUUCCAGAACCGCGCAGCGCUAGUAGAGAGGAGGACCCCGGGCCCAGACUUUCCCGUUCCCCCAGCUUCCAGGAGGCGGCGUCGGUCGGCGCGUGGCGCGGGGCACCGCCUCCCCUCCCCCCCAGCGCGCCCGACGCCGAGACCCCGGGAGAUUGCACCGAUUCUUCCGCGACCCGCGCGUCGAUCGCGCGACAGCGUACCCACCGAACAAGCUCCCACCCGGUCUGGUCUGGCGCGACGAGUGCGCAAUCGUGACCUCUUCCAGUUCCACUCCACUUCCAAAGAAAAGAAUUUCACCAGCCAGCCGGCCUCCCCCGUC